CGGCUGGCGCGAAAGUCAACGUGCCCAAAACACGAGGCCCCUUGCCAACCCAGGGGGCAGCUGCCCUCGAAUCGUGCGCGCGGUUGUGGUCGCUGAAACUCCGAAAGGUGGGUCAUAAAAAUGACCACGCCGAGAAGAAUGGCUCUUGAUCAGUAGUACACGCCACUAGCUAGGGAACAAAGAGGAUGUUUCGCUUGGUAGGGAAAUCCUUCGGGGAAGAUCUUGAUGGCUUGCUGUAUUUCAUUGCUUUUGUGUGUGUUUAAAAACACACUGAUGUUACUUCAAAGCUGCCUCCUGGCAUGAUGUAAAUAAUCAUAAUAUAGGAAUAGAGUCGACGAAUUAGAUGACUGCUUAUUAAGCAUUCAGUUUGCUUGAGUAUUCUUCAUGCUUUAUAUGUCAACAACAUACCAGAAGAACUGCACGCUAUAUGAGAGCCACUGCAUACCUGUUCAGAAGACAGUCGUUAAAAAUACUCUGAAAAGUCUGAACACUGCACCCCAGAGACUGAAAACAAUAAUGCAAUGUUUAUGUUUAUAUUCUUCAAGAAUCUGAUAGGCAGUUGCAACCCGGACACUUGGUUGGUGUAUUGAUUGGACCAAGGGUUCAAUCCCUCACAAUUCUAUAGGAAACAAUACCACCCCGAUACAUGUGGUCCAUACUGUGAAGUCAUCAUUCCCAGAUUGUGCAGAGUACAGUGGUACCUCAGGUUAUAGACGCUUCAGGUUACAGACUCUGCUAACCCAGAAAUAGUACCUCAGGUUAAGAACUUUGCUUCAGGAUGAGAACAGAAAUUGUGCGGCGGCAGCGGGAGGCCCCAUUAGCUAAAGUGGUACCUCAGGUUAAGAAUAGUUUCAGGUUAAGAACGGGCCUCCAGAACGAAUUAAGCUCUUAACCCGAGGUACCACUAUAUUAUAAAGCUUGUCAAUGUGUAAGGCAGUGAGGCCACGCUGGAAAAAAACACUUAAAGAUACCGUAUAUGCUGCCGAAGAGCAGAAGUUAGUCAUGCAUAAUCAAGUGACAAUGGUUGAAGACUGGCCUACAGACUAGCUUCUAGUCUCCUCCAAAUUAUCUCCUCCAUCCUACCUCAACCUACGUUUUUAUAUUUGGGUUUCAAAGUCAAUCACAUGCAAUGUGGGCUUAAGAUCUUGACUCACAAGCAUGAAGUUACUAUGGAAACCCGCACAUUUUAUUUUCAGUACUGGCAGGAAAUGUAAGUUUCAGUGAAAUGACAACUUUUAGAGAAGCCUGGAAUUCUAGCCACCACCACGCCCCCUUUUGACACUGAUAUAUUUGUUCUCUCCUUUCCACAGAAGUACUUAGGGAGAUUUGGGAUAUUGAUAUUGAUAGUCCUAGGCACAAGAGAUGUGAAUGAGAAAGACAAGGACACACACAGCUGAAUCUGCAGAAGUAUCUUAAGAUUCUGGCUACUUUCCUCUCACAAGAUCUGAUGUGGGAGCAGUGGAUUUCUCCUGUUGGUCAGAGUGUUUUAGUUGUGCCUCUGCCUAUGUUCACCCUGCAUAUACAUAGAAUAAAUGCAACCAUUACAAAUUACCAGUAAGGCCAGUGACUUGCAUAAGCAAAUCACACCUGGGUAAGCACCAUGCCCCUAUAACUUCUCACCAGGAGAAAUGUGGUGAGUAUAGUAAAAUAUAUUUUGGGUCUGCUGCAGUCCAACCAUGAAGAGACGCUUUGAGGUGCAAUGGACUAGCUUCUCCAGGUGGUUUUGCCUCUUUCACAGCCUGCUCCAGAGAAUGCCUUUCAGAUGUUGUGCUGGGAGAAUAGACUGCUCCUAGUCCUCUGUCCUAUUAAUAGCUGUACAGAGAGUACUCCCAUCACAGGUCACAGUGUGUUAUUUGAGAUUAACGUGCACUGCAAUGUGAUAGACACAACACUCCUACCCAUAAAGAGAAGUUUAGACAAAACAAAGAAUUGUGUCCUGAAUGCUUAUAUUGCUGAUACCACAUAACUGUUGCACGGCACCCCCAGUAUCCAAGGGUGCGGGAUUCCAGGAGUUCCAGACGCUUACCCAGGGUUUGUGUUUCCUUUUGGAAAUGAGGCACAGUGGGGACUGUGGUAUCUUUAUGAUAUAUGGUUUCUUUACACAUAUAUACAGCCUGGGCCUACGAUGAAGGAGCUUACAGUAUUCACACCCUAAGAGGGUCUUGUUUCUCCCAUACCCACAGCUUUGAAUCCAAACAGAAAUCAAACAUUUCUCUUAAAUGUUGCUCUGACUCUCUCCCACUUUCAAUUCUCACCUUUGUAUUUUUCUAACUACCAUACAGUUUUGUUGGAGGGCCCCCACAAAUUUACCAUGUCACACGGAUAUACUUGCUUUUGUUCGUCUUAAUGGCUUUUGUUUCCCUAGCAUUACUUACACUUCAACACUUGCUAGAUCCAGAGGUUAGAAGGGUCUCUGCAUACCGCCUACUUCCUU